rnacentral:rRNA from 1 species
GUCUACGGCCAUACCACCCUGAACGCGCCCGAUCUCGUCUGAUCUCGGAAGCUAAGCAGGGCUGGGCCUGGUUAGUACUUGGAUGGGAGUCCUCCAGGCUUUUUAAAGCUAACUUAAAUC